GUGGUUGUGGCUCAGUGGUAGAGUGCUCACCUAGCAUGUGCAAGGCCCUGGGUUUGAUACUCAGCACCACA
rnacentral:tRNA from 1 species